rnacentral:lncRNA from 1 species
GUAUUUAAAGCUACUUACUAAGACUUGGUUUUUGAAUGUUGAGUGCCCACAUGUUAGGGCCAUCUCCGCUGCUAGUUAAGAAAUUUAUCCUCUUGUUUUAAUGAUUUCUAUUUUUUUUUCUUUUCUAUUUAUUUUAAAGUUCCAUGGCCGGGGCAAUUUAGUCAUUUAAUAAAUUGUAAGAAAUCAGGGUGUUUCAUAAGGAAUCUCCAGAGUUGAAAUUGAAGCUACAAAAAGCAUCUCAAGUAUGUAUUCCUCCAAGAAAACUCCAAGCUACUAGUAAA